rnacentral:rRNA from 1 species
GAUGAACGCUGGCGGCGUGCCUAAUACAUGCAAGUCGAGCGAACGGACGAGAAGCUUGCUUUUCUGAUGUUAGCGGCGGACGGGUGAGUAACACGUGGAUAACCUACCUAUAAGACUGGGAUAACUUCGGGAAACCGGAGCUAAUACCGGAUAAUAUUUUGAACCGCAUGGUUCAAAAGUGAAAGACGGUCUUGCUGUCACUUAUAGAUGGAUCCGCGCUGCAUUAGCUAGUUGGUAAGGUAACGGCUUACCAAGGCAACGAUGCAUAGCCGACCUGAGAGGGUGAUCGGCCACACUGGAACUGGACCACGGUCCAGACUCCUACGGGAGGCAGCAGUAGGGAAUCUUCCGCAAUGGGCGAAAGCCUGACGGAGCAACGCCGCGUGAGUGAUGAAGGUCUUCGGAUCGUAAAACUCUGUUAUUAGGGAAGAACAUAUGUGUAAGUAACUGUGCACAUCUUGACGGUACCUAAUCAGAAAGCCACGGCUAACUACGCG